ACCAGUGUGGUGUAGUGGUUUGAGUGCUGGACUACAACUCUGGAGAUUAGGAUUCGAUUCCCUGCUCAGGCA